rnacentral:rRNA from 1 species
AGUGACCGUAUACAUAUUCGUACGAGGAUAACUACUGGAAACGGUAGCUAAGAGUGGAUAGGAUAUAUAUGUAGGGAUAUAUAUUUAAAGAUGCUAAGGCAUCGCGAAUAGAAGGGCUUGCGGCGCAUUAGCUAGUUGGUGGGGUAAAGGCCUACCAAGGCGACGAUGCGUAGCCGACCUGAGAGGGUGAACGGCCACACUGGUACUGAGAGACGGCCCAGACUCCUACGGGAGGCAGCAGUAGGGAAUCUUCGGCAUAUGGACGGAAGUCUGACCGAGCAAUGCCGCGUGAGUGAAGAAGGUCUUCGUAUUGUAAAACUCUGUAAUUAGGGAAGAAAGAGCUAUGGAGGGAAUGCCAUAGAAGUGACGGUACCUAAUGAGGAAGCCACGGCUAACUACGUGCCAGCAGCCGCGGUAA